rnacentral:misc_RNA from 1 species
AACUGAUACUACCUGCGGGAACCUGCGGAAGGAUCAUUAUAGAGUUUUUAACUCCCAAACCCAUGUGAACUUACCUUUGUUGCCUCGGCGGAGCCUACCCGGUACCUACCCUGUAGCGCCCCGCCGGUGGACUUCUAAACUAUUGUUAUUUUAAUGAUAUCUGAGAGUCUUAUUUUAAUAAGUCAAAACUUUCAGCAAUGGAUCUCU